UACGAAGGGGGCUAGCGUUGUUCGGAAUUACUGGGCGUAAAGGGCGCGUAGGCGGUGUGUCAAGUCAGGCGUGAAAGCCCCGGGCUCAAGCUGGGAACCGCGCUUGAGACUGGCACGCUAGAGUUCGGGAGAGGAUGGUGGAAUUCCCAGUGUAGAGGUGAAAUUCGUAGAUAUUGGGAAGAACACCGAUGGCGAAGGCAGCCAUGUGGACCGACACUGACGCUGAGGCGCGAAAGCGUGGGGAGCAAACAGG
rnacentral:rRNA from 1 species